rnacentral:misc_RNA from 1 species
UAUUUUACAGAGCAACCUAUUUUCAUCCUCGCAGGUCCACUUGAGAAACGCUAUUUCUAAUCCUUUGCACCUUCCAAAGAAAUAAAGACAAACCCAAGAAAAAGAGCAAUGGUGGUUAGAGAGUCUGAAGAGAUCUCCCAAGAUGAGGUGGAGUCGCCAUUGCAGUCUGACCACCAUCUUAGAAACCACCCUUUCUUGUCUCUUGGCAGGCAAUCCUCCAUUUAUUCUCUUACACUCGAGGAGUUUCAGCAUACCCUUUGCGAAAGUGGGAAGAAUUUUGGGUCCAUGAACAUGGACGAGUUCCUUGCCAGCAUCUGGAAUGCGGAGGAACAUCAAGCUACUGCUGCCAUUACCAACAAUGAUCAGAUCAACAAUAGUAACUGUAAUAAUAGGGGAAAUCAGGGAUUCAAUGAUGUGUCUGAUGAUAAAGCAAUAUCUAAGCAGCCCAGUUUGCCGAGACAAGGAUCGCUUAGCUUGCCUGCGCCCUUGUGUAGGAAAACUGUGGAUGAAGUUUGGUCUGAGAUACACAGAGAGCUGCAGCAGAACCACCACCACCAAGGACAGGGACGAAGUAAUGGUAAUAAUAUGCAGAAUCCUAAGUCUGCUGCUGCUCGUCGGCCGACUUUUGGGGAGAUGACUUUAGAGGAUUUCCUGAUCAAGGCAGGGGUGGUAAGAGAGCAAUGUCCUGCACCUUCACUACCACCUCAGCAACCACAGUACGGGUUGUACCAAAGCAAUAACAAUAAUCCUGCCAUGGGGACAGGUUUUGUUUCCAGGCCGAUUCAGGGAAUUGGCGGCAGAGGUGGCGGUGGCGGUGCUGUUAGUUACCAGACAAUGCCACAAGACGCUGGGCCUAUGGGUGAGACAUCAGGGAGGAAUGGCGGGUUCCCUCCGCAGGCGGCAGCGGCAGCAGCAGGUUCAGUUUAUGGGGGAAGAAUGGGGAAUGGUGGUGGAUAUGCGCCAAGUCAGGCAAUGGGGGUUAUGGCACAAGUGAGCCCAGUUUCAUCAGAUGCAAUGGUUUGCAGCAACAUUGAUAAUGCAAAUCAAUUUGGAAUAGAUAUGGGCGAGCUAAGGGGAAGGAAGAGGAUUGUUGAUGGGCCUGUGGAGAAGUUGGUAGAGAGGAGGCAACGGAGGAUGAUCAAGAAUAGAGAGUCGGCUGCAAGGUCCAGAGCUAGAAAACAGGCGUAUACAUUUGAAUUAGAAGCAGAGCUGAACCAACUAAAAGAAGAGAACAACCAGCUUAGGCAUGCUCUGGCAGAGCUUGAGAGGAAAAGAAAACAGCAGUAUCUUGAAGAAUUGAGAAUGAAAGCCCAGACUAAGGCCCAAAAGACUGAAGAGAAAUUGAGGAUGAUGAGAAGGAAUUUUAGCUGUCACCUAUAGCAAUCCUAAGCAAUGAAAUUUGAUGGUGGAAGCUGCACAUAACAAAAUCCAGAAUUCACAAUAGGGGAAAUAAGGGCAAAACAAGAUGAUUAAGGGAAAGCAUGCAUUUGGAACUGAAGAGUGAUGAAUGAAUGCAAUGGAAGGCUCCUUCUAUAUAAACUAUAAUUUAUGAGUAGUUGGAUUUCUAAAAGUCCAGUUAUGUCCAUUCACAAACUUAGUAACAGAAGCUAGCUAGAUUUUCUUUAAUGUAAUUCCUGUGACAUAGUAUGAAUCAAAUGUUCCUUGGAAUGGGAUAAUGCCAAAAUAACUUAAUAUUAUAAAACUUGAGAUUU